GCCAAACAGCCGCGGCGUCCUGCCUACCGGGAGCUGACGGACGACGACUGCCAACACCUUAGCCCCAGCUGGCCCAGGAAACUGCUGCGGUGGCAGGUGGCGGCGGCAGGAGGGCUCGGCUGCCCCGAGCGCCCGCCAGGCUUCUGCCCUAAGAAGAUGGCCUACUAUGGAAAAUGCAUUGAAACUGUGAUCGAGCAACUCGACAAAUUUACACCCAAGAGGGACAACCCUGAGCAGUUCCUGGAGGCUGCGGCCACCUCCCUGCAGGCUCUGAGCCCCCAGAAGCAGAGCUUUGUUUUGGAGGUUCUGUCUGGGUGCCUCGAGUACCGGAAGCUGCUGACCGUCGUGGUGGAUGCCUUCUACGUGGAGGAUGGCCGACUCUGCCUGCGGGUUGACCACAGCCGCUUCGAGGUGAUCUGCUACCUAGCCACAUUCCUGCUGGAGGAACUCGGCUUC
rnacentral:lncRNA from 1 species